UUGGAGGGCAAGUCUGGUGCCAGCAGCCGCGGUAAUUCCAGCUCCAAUAGCGUAUAUUAAAGUUGUUGCAGUUAAAAAGCUCGUAGUUGAAUUUCGGGAUCAAUACGUCGGUCGUGCUUUUUUGGUACGCACUGGCGUCAUUGGUUUCUCCUUUCUGACGAACCAUGAUGUCAUUAAUUUGGUGUUAUGGGGAGUUAGGACUGUUACUUUGAAAAAAUUAGAGUGUUUAAAGCAGGCAUUAGCCUUGAAUACAUUAGCAUGGAGUAAUGAAAUAGGACGUUCGAUCCUAUUUUGUUGGUUUCUAGGAUCAACGUAAUGAUUAAUAGGGAUAGUUGGGGGCAUUAGUAUUCAAUUGUCAGAGGUGAAAUUCUUGGAUUUAUUGAAGACUAACUACUGCGAAAGCAUUUGCCAAGGAUGUUUUCAUUAAUCAAGAACGAAAGUUAGGGGAUCGAAGACGAUCAGAUACCGUCGUAGUCUUAACCAUAAACUAUGCCGACUAGGGAUCGGAUGAUGUUAAUUUUUUAAUGACUCAUUCGGCGCCUUACGGGAAAC
rnacentral:rRNA from 1 species